CACAGGUAAGCCGAAAACUGAUUAGAGUAGGCA
rnacentral:ncRNA from 1 species